UUCCUUGGAAAAGGACAGCUGAGAGGGUGAAACUCCCGUCCGCCUGGUAGAAUGAGUCUUUGUCAACGAGUCGAGUUGUUUGGGAUUGCAGCCCUAAUUUGGUGGUAAAUUCCAUCUAAAGCUAAAUAUUGGUGGGAGACCGAUAGCGUACAAGUACCGUGAGGGAAAGAUGCAAAGAACUUUGAAAAGAGAGUUAAAGAGUACCUGAAAUUGCUGAAACGGAAGCGAAGGAAACCAGUGUUUGUUGGUUCAUAUUUCCUUGGCCACUUGUGGUUUGGGCG
rnacentral:rRNA from 1 species